UACGGGGGGAGCAAGCGUUGUUCGGAUUUACUGGGCGUAAAGGGCGCGUAGGCGGUCAGCACAAGUCGGUUGUGAAAUCUCCGGGCUUAACUCGGAAAGGUCAACUGAUACUGUGCGACUAGAGUGCAGAAGGGGCAACUGGAAUUCUCGGUGUAGCGGUGAAAUGCGUAGAUAUCGAGAGGAACACCUGCGGCGAAGGCGGGUUGCUGGGCUGACACUGACGCUGAUGCGCGAAAGCCAGGGGAGCGAACGGG
rnacentral:rRNA from 1 species